rnacentral:tRNA from 1 species
GGGCGCAUAGCUCAGUUGGUAGAGCAGCUGACUCUUAAUCAGCGGGUCCUAGGUUCGAACCCUAGGGCGCCCACCA